rnacentral:rRNA from 1 species
UAAAUGAAUGGAAUGGUUAUACAGGGAGAUUAGUUGAAGGAGUAAAAGGUGAAAUUGAGGUUACUCCCCUUAAUAAAUAAAUUGUUUGUGACUUUAGUUGAAGCUAAAGAUUAUUAGAGUUAAACUAGGAUUAGAUACCCUAUUAUACUAGUAAAUAUAAGUAAGCCUAAAUUAUUAAUAGGUAUGUUCUUUAAACUUGAAGAAUUUGGCGGUGGUUAAUACUUAUUAGAGGAACCUGUUUUUGAAUCGAUACACCACGUGGAAUCUUACUCAUUUUAUUUAGCCUAUAUACCGUCAUUAUCAGAUGAUUUUUAGAGAGCUGUAAUCAUUAAGGUUUAUGAAUAUAGAUAAGAGAAAUUAGAUCAAGGUGUAGCUAAUGAAUGAGUUAAAAUGGGUUACAAUGAAAUUUUAUUCACUACGGAAUAGUUAUGUGAAAUGUGCUAUGAAGGAGGAUUUAAUUGUAAUGAAAGUUUAAUAAGCUUGAAAGAUAUAAGCUCUAAACCAUGUACAUAUCGCCCGUCGCUCUCAUUAUAUAGAU